GCCCGCUGCAGCUCUUCCUGGGCGUUGCUGGACGUCGAGGACCGUCUCUUCGUUCCACAGGACUGUCUGUCCCCGCCGUCGCGAGGGGGAGCCCGCUCCCCCUCGGGGUUAACUCCUAGCUCCGAGAUCCUGGCGGCGGCGGCGCCUCCUUAAGCAAGCCGACGGCCGCCGCCGCCGCCGUCGCUAUGGACACGAAGGCGGCCCCUAUUGGAGUAGCGUUCUGGGGGCGUGGCCUUCCCGGGAACCACACCCCUUUUGGUGCCAGCCGAAGCCAUCUUGGCCCCCGACUGUCGGGUUUUGCCGGGUGCGGCUGGAGGUCAAAGUGUAUAAGAGCCCGCGUUCAGCUAAGCGGGAUUCUUUCCAAUGCAUUAUGGGACUUGUAGUCCUCACGCAUUGGUGACUUUCCUGGAUUCCCAUGGCCAAGGCAAACAAGAGGUUGUCUCACACUGGAGAAGCCAAGAGUUGUUGUUCAGUAGUAGUUCAGUCUACAAGGCUGCAUGUCUCAGCAGUCCCUUUCUGGCCCUGGAGGCCUGAAGGAUUCUUGGAGAGCUUCAGGUCUUCGGUCUACAUAGGAAUCCCAAAGAAGUUGGUCCUAAUAUUUGUGGGUGUUUUUGUUUUGUUUUGAGAUGGGUUUUUCUAUGUAGCCCUGGCAGGCCUGGAUCUCACUAUGUAAACCAAGAUAUACUCAAAUUCACAGAGAUCUGCCUGCUUCUGCCUCCUGAGUGAUGGGAUUAAAGGUGUUAUACCA